CUGGCUCAGGACGAACGCUGGCGGCGUGCCUAAUACAUGCAAGUCGAGCGGACUUCUGGGAGCUUGCUCCCAGAAGUCAGCGGCGGACGGGUGAGUAACACGUGGGCAACCUGCCUGUAAGACUGGGAUAACUUCGGGAAACCGGAGCUAAUACCGGAUAAUUCUUUCCCUCACAUGAGGGAAAGCUGAAAG
rnacentral:rRNA from 1 species